GCACAUGCGCAGGAGGCUCAAUGACAGUCGAGCUUUGGCUAAGGUAACAGGAAUUCCACUCGAGUCCGGCAGAGAAGGCGGCUUUGGAGGCGUUCUCGGCCCACGUGGACUUCUGCACCCUGUUCCACUACCACCAAAUCCUGGCCCGGCUGCAGGCCUUAUAUGACCCCAUCAACCCUGACAGGGAGACCCUCGAUCAGCCAUCACUAACGGAUCCCCAGCGUCUGUCUAAUGAGCAGGAGGUGCUUCGGGCUCUGGAGCCCCUGCUGGCCCAGGCCAACUUCUCCCCGCUGUCUGAGGACACCCUGGCCUACGCGCUGGUGGUCCACCACCCUCAGGAUGAGGUCCAGGUGACAGUAAAUUUGGAUCAGUAUGUCUACAUGCACUUCUGGGCCCUGGGCCAGCGAGUCGGGCAGAUGCCCCUGAAGUCCAGCGUGGGCUCCAGGCGUGGCUUCUU
rnacentral:sRNA from 1 species